rnacentral:misc_RNA from 1 species
GAUGAAGAACGCAGCGAAAUGCGAUAAGUAAUGUGAAUUGCAGAAUUCAGUGAAUCAUCGAAUCUUUGAACGCACCUUGCGCUCCUUGGCAUUCCGAGGAGCAUGCCUGUUUGAGUGUCAUUAAAUUCUCAAGACCUGUCUGCUUUUUUGAUAGGUAUUGGAUUUUGGGGGUUGCAGGCUGUUUCAAAUAAAUAGCCUUGCUCUCCUUGAAUGUAUUAGUGGAGAAAAGCCAUUGAACUCCAUUGGUGUUAUAAAACCUAUCAAUGCCAGGAGCAAUAUCACUACUUCUCUCUGCUGUCUAACUGUGACUGUCUGUAUUAAUUAGUAUGGAUGGGGACAACUUGACCAACUUGACCUCAAAUCAGGUAGGACUACCCGCUGAACUUAAGCAUAUCAAUAAGCGGAGGA